rnacentral:lncRNA from 1 species
GGGGGAAUGUGUCAAAGAGACAACAACCCGACCAAAUAAAAAACAACAGCAGAAGGUCACCAACAGGUCUUCAAUGUAGCGAGAAAUUCCCGCACCCGGAGGCGUCCUUCAGCUGGCCCCUAAACAAAUAUAUACUAGUUCAGUGAUGAUGAACGCCAUACUAAUUUCCAAAUUGUACACAAGAAACUAAAAUUAAAAUAAUAC